rnacentral:rRNA from 1 species
AUUGAACGCUGGCGGCAUGCCUUACACAUGCAAGUCGAACGGCAGCACGGGGGCAACCCUGGUGGCGAGUGGCGAACGGGUGAGUAAUGCAUCGGAACGUGCCCAGUAGUGGGGGAUAACCAGUCGAAAGACUGGCUAAUACCGCAUACGACCCAAGGGUGAAAGCGGGGGACCGUAAGGCCUCGCGCUAUUGGAGCGGCCGAUGUCUGAUUAGCUAGUUGGCGGGGUAAGAGCCCACCAAGGCGACGAUCAGUAGCUGGUCUGAGAGGACGACCAGCCACACUGGGACUGAGACACGGCCCAGACUCCUACGGGAGGCAGCAGUGGGGAAUUUUGGACAAUGGGCGCAAGCCUGAUCCAGCCAUGCCGCGUGCGGGAAGAAGGCCUUCGGGUUGUAAACCGCUUUUGGCAGGAACGAAACGGCGCAGGCCAAUACCUUGCGCUAAUGACGGUACCUGCAGAAAAAGCAUCGGCUAACUCCGUGCCAGCCGCCGCAGUAAAAC